AGAAUCAACGCUGGCGGCGUGCCUAACACAUGCAAGCCGCACGAGAAAGUGGAGCAAUCCAUGAGUAAAGUGGCGCACGGGUGAGUAACACGUGACUAACCUACCUCCGAGUGGGGAAUAACUGAGAGAAAUCUUAGCUAAUACCGCAUAACACUUACGAGUCAAAGCAGCAAUGCGCUUGGAGAGGGGGUCGCGGCAGAUUAGCUAGUUGGCGGGGUAACGGCCCACCAAGGCUUUGAUCGGUA
rnacentral:rRNA from 1 species